UACGUAGGGUGCGAGCGUUAAUCGGAAUUACUGGGCGUAAAGCGUGCGCAGGCGGUUUUGUAAGCCAGAUGUGAAAUCCCCGGGCUCAACCUGGGAACUGCAUUUGUGACUGCAUGGCUAGAGUACGGUAGAGGGGGAUGGAAUUCCGCGUGUAGCAGUGAAAUGCGUAGAUAUGCGGAGGAACACCGAUGGCGAAGGCAGCCCCCUGGGCUAACACUGACGCUCAUGCACGAAAGCGUGGGGAGCAAACAGG
rnacentral:rRNA from 1 species